CACUCCCCAGUCUUCCCUGUAAAACCCACUCUCCUGCUGCUAUUACAUCUAAUCAGCAGCACUACCGUCCCCUCCGGUCCUUCAGCUCUGAACUGGCCGCUGAUCUAGACCUCUCGUCCACGCCACCCACACCUGGUUAAUAACCACGUGUCAUUAUUAGUUCUGUCUCCUCAAACUCUGUCCAAUUAGUCCUCAUUGCCCCAUACUCGCCACCACCAUCUGCGGGAUCGUCUGUCACCUGUAUGGUACAACAGCAUCCAAGCAUUUUUCCAGCAUUCCAGUUCGCCUUUUCUCACUCUUCCACCGGUACGGUCUUUUCAACGGAAAUCGAUCAGAAUUGAGAAGACUAAUAGGAGAGAAACCAUUAUUUGAUGUUAUACAGGGAAUUUAGCAAAAUCCUUUCUCUAAUUGGAGCAGGACUCUAAUCAGAGUUCAUAUAGGAGGAAGUUUGAUGCUACACACUGGGGCAUCUCUGGUGAAGAAGAAGACCAUUGUAUGUACUUCUAUUUUUUUCCUACUUUAUUAGGAUAAUCACUUUUCAUUACCUGCUGCCUAAUUCAAUGUUUCUAAAAUUUAAGGCCCACAUCAAUCUAUUUAACACAAUAGCAACAUUAAUUAGAACAUAUUUCUUAUUUGGUCUUGAUGUUUUCUUCACAAUUGUCGUAUUGUGGAUAAUGUAGUAGGGAUAAUUUUGUUUUACUACCAAGACCUAUAGUCCCAUCAUUUUUGUUGUUAUUGGUGCAGAUAAUAAACUGCUAUUAAAUUCCAAUAUUCUAAAAGAUUGCUAAAAUGACAGAGCAUCUGUUAGUUUGAGCUUUUUCUCCCUAGAGCAGCAAUUUGAAUUUUUGUAAGCUAAAUUUUGCUUGGUUAUUUGUGUUUGUUGAGGCAGGAGUAUUUAAAUCUUGAUACAACUUUUUUCCCUUCAUAUGAAGGAAUUCCCAGAGAGUUUAUAUUCUCUUUCUACAUCCCAUCUGCCCUGCCUCAGGCCUCUAAAAGGAUUCUGGUAAGGAAAACUAGAAUCUUCUUUACUUCAUCAGAAUGAGAAGAGACAAGCCUUCUGGGGGAAGAGAAAGGCUUGGCAUUGAUAAUAUUUUUCCAGUCUUUGGGCUUAAGCCCUUCCUAAAAUAAAUAAUUCAAACUGUUAGGGAUGUUUAAAUAAAUAUCAAUCCAAGGUCCAGAAAGGUGUGUGUGGUUGCUGCACUGCCAACAGCUAAUUGAAGACUUGCUUAUCAUGAAUGUAUUCAUGUAGGAAAUAACUUGAUCUGUUCACAUCUUACAGAGCGUAUAAGACAGCUUUGAAUAAAUGCACAGCUUUGAGUAAAAUUUCAGACUCUCUUUGAUAAGAUUGAGGGGACAAAUGUGAAAUAUUUUUAUAAAAGUAGAAACACUGUAAAGACUUCAGGUACAUCGCCAAUGUGUUUCUGGACUUUUCUGUCAAUAGCAUCGCUAGAAUUAAUUGCUUAUUUAAAGCUACACUGCUAUCCCCUCAAUUCACCUGCACACAUGUUAAAAUCACCUGUCUUGGCAGGAACAAGCAAUUAUUUCAAGAUUGUUUGCUAUACCCUGUUUAGUAUAACUACUCUACUAUAUCGGUUAGAAUAUUUCCUUAGUCUUUGAAUUUUGAGGAAGCCAUACAUCGUAUUUUAUUUUAUCCAGAAUGUCUCAAAAAUGAAACAUGUCAUCUUCAUAGUUUCUUGUUACCUCUUGAAAUUUAUAAAAUGGAGGAAUUCAUAAUGCCUUGGAUGGAAUGUGCAGCUAUUGGUUUUCACUGAGGAGUUUCCCCUAGGCAAGAAACGGAGGGCCACCUCCAGAAAAGAACAAGUGAGGAAUUGAGGUCCUCAGCCCAACAGCCAACGAAGAACUGAAUGCGGCCAACAAUGACUGAGCGACCAUGGAAGCAGAUCAUUCCCCGGUCGAGCCCACAGAUGAGAUGGCAGACCCGGAGCCAACACCUUAACUGCACCUUUGUGAGAGACCAUGAAGCAGAGGACUCAACUGGCCAUCUCCAGAUUCCUGACCUACAGCAACUGUGAUGUAAUAAAUGUGCGUUGUUUUAACAGGCUAUGUUUUAGUAUAAUUUGAUACUCAGCAACAGAAAAUGAAUACACUCAUUUAAUUAAAAAUAUUGUUCAGUAUCACAAAUACUGUUUACUUAUUAUGGAACUUUUAUUACAAUGUAAAUAAUGUAGCUGAUUUUUGUUAUAAUGUAGAUGAACAAAGGGGGCUAUCUAUAAUGCUUCCUACUUUGAAAUAAUCCCUGUUAAACCUUGAUAAACUUGUUAAUCUUUGUUAAACUUGUUGGACCUC